rnacentral:rRNA from 1 species
UCUGGCUUUAGGUCUGGGACAACCACUGGAAACGGUGGCUAAUACCGGAUGUGCCGAAAGGUGAAAGAUUAAUUGCCUAAAGAUGAGCUCGCGUCUGAUUAGCUAGUUGGAAGUGUAAUGGACUCCCAAGGCGACGAUCAGUAGCUGGUCUGAGAGGACGAUCAGCCACACUGGGACUGAGACACGGCCCAGACUCCUACGGGAGGCAGCAGUGGGGAAUUUUCCGCAAUGGGCGAAAGCCUGACGGAGCAAUACCGCGUGAGGGAGGAAGGCUCUUGGGUCGUAAACCUCUUUUCUCAGGGAAGAACAAAAUGACGGUACCUGAGGAAUAAGCAUCGGCUAACUCCGUGCCAGCAGCCGCGGUAAUACGGAGGAUGCAAGCGUUAUCCGGAAUGAUUGGGCGUAAAGCGUCCGCAGGUGGCAAUGUAAGUCUGCUGUUAAAGAGUCUAGCUCAACUAGAUAAGAACAGUGGAAACUACAUAGCUAGAGUACGUUCGGGGCAGAGGGAAUUCCUGGUGUAGCGGUGAAAUGCGUAGAGAUCAGGAAGAACACCAGUGGCGAAGGCGCUCUGCUAGGCCGUAACUGACACUGAGGACGAAAGC